GAUGAAGAACGUAGCGAAAUGCGAUAACUAAUGUGAAUUGCAGAAUUCAGUGAAUCAUCGAGUCUUUGAACGCACAUUGCGCCCCCUGGUAUUCCGGGGGGCAUGCCUGUCCGAGCGUCAUUGCUGCCCUCAAGCACGGCUUGUGUGUUGGGCUCCGUCCCCCCGGGGACGGGCCCGAAAGGCAGCGGCGGCACCGAGUCCGGUCCUCGAGCGUAUGGGGCUUUGUCACCCGCUCUGUAGGCCCGGCCGGCGCCAGCCGACAACCCAUCAACCUUUUCAGGUUGACCUCGGAUCAGGUAGGGAUACCCGCUGAACUUAAGCAUAUCAAUAAGCGGAGGA
rnacentral:misc_RNA from 1 species